UACAUAAAACAGGUUGAAAAUAAUUGUUGUCAUGUUAUUAGCCUAUUCUGUUGAUAUUUACAAUAAAUUGUACGCUUACUAACUUUGUUCACGUUGAGGAAUGUUUGUAAUGGUGUGAGGUUAGAUGUCUAAAUAUUUUCAGACAGGCAAGCAAAGUGGGCGAACCUAUGGCCCCCACGCAGCAGCUUGCUAUGUGCUAAAGAGCUACUGUGUUGAGUAAGUGGCCACAGCGCUGCCUGUUUAGUAGAUGCUUUUAUCUUGAGAGCGGGAUAUAGGCUGCUUAAGCUGCUGUUAGUCGAGGUGCAUGCGUCUCUCUCCCCCCUCCCCCCAUACAGUUAUCGCUGGGUCCGGUGUCGGCCAAGUGCCAUGUACUGUGCAGGGUAUGGCAGGCCGUUUUAACAUUUAUUAGCUUGACUGAAUAUGUAUACCAGACAUCUCAAAUACGGAAUAAGAUUUUUGCACUUAAAAUAAUUACAGUUCAUCUACAUCAUCUUAUUUCAAGUGCAGAAUAGCUAAUAACCUUCUUUUAGGGGUAAGAAUACUCAUUCCAUUGGCAAAUAGUCUUAUUUAGCUGCUCAAAUCAAGGAAGAAUACACUGAUUUCAAGAAAGUUUUACUCACUUUUAGUUCCCUUUUUGCAGUGCUAAAGUCUUGACUUAAUGUGUAUUUCAGAUAUCUCCAACAGAAUUCUUGCUAUCUAAAGUGGAAACUUUAGAUAUCUUAAAUAUAAUUAUUUAUAGUAGAAAUUACAUCACUUUUCCCAUUUAUGUGUAGUGGGAUUUUACUUUCGGAUAUCUAAAAUAACUUUCUUCCUAUCUAAAAUAAACUUUCUGGAUGUCUGAAAACUAAUCCUGGAUCUCCAUAAUCCAUUUUUUACCGGUCAUAGUUUUUAUUUCAGAUAUCAAAAAUCAAUGAUCAAAAGUUUUGAAACCAAUAUGUAAGACAUCCAACUUUGUAAAUUCCGCUUUCUGUCCGUCAAUUUGCGUUGGUAGUAAUUGACAGAAUUGCAAGAAAAGGGCAUGAAACUGAGCGAGCCCUUAGCCAGGGAAUGUGUAGCGACAGAGAGCGACGUUCAAUAGAAAGUUGUGUAAGAAACCUUCACAGAAUUGAACAUUUAUUGUCUACAGAAACCUACAAUGAACAGUAAAGCAGUUUGACUGAGGUUGGAGUGCUAGCAAUAGCUCAUUUCCAUCGAACCGAGGAUCGUCGUUUCUUCAUAAGGCGGGUUAGUUCAGGGCGGAGUGGCAGACCAUCUAUUGUUACCAGAGAGCACAUAGACGUCCUUAUGAAGCAAGGACAUACAAUCAAAAAAAAGGCAAAAAUGAUGGGAUGUUCCUCGUCGUUUUUGAACAACAAAUCAAAGCUGGUGGACCUACACAUAAGAGGAAGACUGUCUGCCUUAGAUGACAAUCAGCUGCAAGAGCGUGUGAGCACAUGGCAGGACCAGUAUCCAAACUCUGGGAAUGAGAUGAUGAGGGUGCUGCUUCGUGCUCAAGAUGUGAUUGUCACACGGGCCAGGGUACGCUAAAUGUUGGGAAGGACAAACCUGACAUCUGCUGCAAGAAGGUGGAGUCGGACUGUUGCAAGAUGGGGCUUUGUGAUACUUGGUGCCAUCGAAGGAUACCCGUGUGGGAUUACCUCAGCUGCAGUACAAACAAUAGGGCAACAACAGUACUCUGUCAGUUUUUGAAAGCAACAUCUUACUAUGGACUACCAUCAAGAGUCAGAUCAGACCAUGGGGAUGAAAACAUGCUGCUUGCUUUAUGCAUGCAUCUAGUUCAAGGGCUGGAACACAGAGGCUUCAUAACAGGAGAAUCAGUUCAUAAUCAGCGCAUAGAACACCUUUGGCAGGAUGUAUUUUUGCUUGUGCUGCAGCAUUUCUACCAUACAUUCUACUGUCUGGAGGACGCAGAGAAUCUUAACCCAGAUAAUGAUAUCCACAGACUUUCUUUACAUAUUGUAUAUCCACCUGAGAUUCAAAGGAGGCUGGAACAGUUCAGACAGGCUUGGUACCACCAUGGUUUGCCCACAGAAAGUAAUCACACAGCAGCUCGUCUGUAAUUCUGAUGCAGAAUACAU